ACGAACGCUGGCGGCGUGCCUAAUACAUGCAAGUCGAACGGUCUUUCUAUGGAAGUUUGCUUCCACUGAGAAGAUAGUGGCGAACGGGUGAGUAACACGUGGGUAACCUGCCCAUAAGAGGGGGAUAACAUCCGGAAACGGGUGCUAAUACCGCAUAGUUUUCUUGAUUGCAUGAUCGGGAAAGGAAAGACGGCCUUUGUGCUGUCGCUUAUGGAUGGACCCGCGGCGUAUUAGUUAGUUGGUGAGGUAACGGCUCACCAAGACGAUGAUACGUAGCCGACCUGAGAGGGUGAUCGGCCACAUUGGGACUGAGACACGGCCCAAACUCCUACGGGAGGCAGCAGUAGGGAAUCUUCCGCAAUGGACGAAAGUCUGACGGAGCAACGCCGCGUGAGUGAAGAAGGUUUUCGGGAAUCGUAAAACUCUGUUGUCAGAGAAGAACAAGUUGGAGAGUAACUGCUCCAGCCUUGACGGUAUCUGACCAGAAAGCCACGGCUGACUACGUGCCAGCCGCUGC
rnacentral:rRNA from 1 species